rnacentral:rRNA from 1 species
UACGGAGGGUGCAAGCGUUAUCCGGAUUCACUGGGUUUAAAGGGUGCGUAGGUGGAUUGGUAAGUCCGUGGUGAAAUCCCCGAGCUUAACUCGGGAACUGCCGUGGAUACUAUCAAUCUUGAAUACUGUGGAGGUAAGCGGAAUAUGUCAUGUAGCGGUGAAAUGCUUAGAUAUGACAUAGAACACCGAUAGCGGAGGCAGCUUGCUACACAGUCAUUGACACUGAGGCACGAAAGCGUGGGGAGCAAACAGGA